GCUCAGUUGGUUAAAUGUCCAACUCCUGACUUCAGCUCAGGUCAUGAUCUCAAGGUUCGUGGGAUCGAGCCCCGCAUCGGGCU
rnacentral:tRNA from 1 species